rnacentral:rRNA from 1 species
UAAACAUUGAUACAUUAUUACAUUUUCAAUCCGCCCGGGUACUACAGGCACUAGCUUAAAACCCAAAGGACUUGGCGGUGCUUAAGAUCCCCCUAGAGGAGCCUGUUCUAGAACCGAUAAUCCACGUUUAACCUCACCCUCUCUUGUUUCUCCCGCUUAUAUACCGCCGUCGUCAGCUUACCCUGUGAAGGUCUAAUAGUGAGCAAAAAUGGCACAGCCCAAAACGUCAGGUCGAGGUGUAGCACAUGAGAGGGGAAGAAAUGGGCUACAUUCUCUAAAAAUAGAAGCAUACGGACAAUAUAUUGAAACAUAUAUUUUAAGGAGGAUUUAGCAGUAAGUAGAGAUUAGAAUAUUCCACUGAAUCCGGCCCUAAAGCGCGC